rnacentral:rRNA from 1 species
GUGCCAGCAGCCGCGGUAAGACGAACCGUGCGAACGUUGUUCGGAAUCACUGGGCUUAAAGGGCGCGUAGGCGGGCUAUCAAGUCCGGGGUGAAAUCCUCCAGCUUAACUGGAGAACGGCCUCGGAUACUGAUGGUCUCGAGGAGGAUAGGGGCACACGGAACUGUGGGUGGAGCGGUGAAAUGCGUUGAUAUCCAUAGGAACUCCGGUGGCGAAAGCGGUGUGCUGGAUCCUUUCUGACGCUGAGGCGCGAAAGCCAGGGGAGCAAACGGGAUUAGAUACCCCAGUAGUCC